rnacentral:pre_miRNA from 1 species
AAAAAGACAAACCCUUGUAUCCGUGCCCAACGUUUGACCGUCCGUUUUAUUUGAAAAAAUUAUGAAAAAAAUUAAAAAGACAAGUCACGCAUAAAAUAUUAAUCAUGUUUUAUCAUCUAACAACAAUGAAAAUACGAAUUAUAAAAUUUUUUUAUAUAAGACGGACAAUCAAUGUUGGACACGGAAACCCAGGGUUUGCCCUUUUU